GUGCCGGUCAUGGCAGAGCAGCCGGCUGUUCACCGGCAGGUUGAUGGUUCGAGUCCAUCUCAGGGAGCA
rnacentral:tRNA from 4 species